AGCCCUGAGACCAGUUCAGACAGAAGACGACAAGGGAAAGUACACAGCCCAGUGGGAAGGCAGCUGGGUCAUGAGGCUCGGGGAGACCACAGCCUCCCCUGCUCCUGCCCCGUGAGCUGGGUGAGCUGACGCCAAGCAAUGAGAAGGGAUGUGAAUGGCGGCCGCGACUGGUCCGCAGGCUUUGCGGAACGCCGCCGGUUAGCAUCUUGGCAAGAACGGACUAUCUCAGUCUUGCCCGGAGUAGCCCUGUCGCUCUGACAAGGCGCCACUGCCUCGAUUUCCAAGCCAG